rnacentral:lncRNA from 1 species
AGCUCAGUUGCUUGAAAGCAAUGCACCUAUUCACAUGGAGAAUCUUCCCUUUCCUCUAAAAUUACUUAGUCCCUCAUCGCUAAACACCCCCAGCUCCACACCAUGGGUGUUGGAUAUCUUCCUCACCUUGGUGUUUGCCCUGGGGUUCUUCUUCCUAUUACUCCCCUACUUAUCUUACCUCCAUUGUGACGAUCCACCCUCACCAUCGCCUGGGAAGAGAAAGUGUCAUCUUGUCUCCUCGCGUCAUCUUGUCUCCCAGUGUCCAGUAGGGCAGAGGGGGAUGCCCAGAGGCAGGAUGAAAAACCACAGUCUUCAGAGCUUGUAGAGAGUGCCUGAGAGGCCUGGAGGAGACUUGGGACCUGCUUUCACAACUGCAGAGCCUCCUAGGGCCACACCUUGAAAAAGGUGACUUUGGUCAGCUCUCCGGUCCAGACUCCCCAGGUGAGGUGGGCAAAAGAGCACCUGAUGGAGCCUCCCGGUCCUCUCAUGAGCCUAUAGAAGAUGCUGCUCCCAUUCUCUCCCUGUUAGCUUCCCCGGAUCCUUGAACCA